rnacentral:piRNA from 1 species
UGGGAGCCACGAGCUGCCCUGCUGGGC